rnacentral:rRNA from 1 species
UACGAAGGGGGCGAGCGUUGUUCGGAAUUACUGGGCGUAAAGGGCGCGCAGGCGGCUCUGAAGGUCAGAUGUGAAAGCCCCGGGCUUAACCUGGGAAUUGCAUUUGAUACUCUGGAGCUUGAGUACGGGAGAGGAUAGUGGAAUUCCCAGUGUAGAGGUGAAAUUCGUAGAUAUUGGGAAGAACACCGGUGGCGAAGGCGGCUAUCUGGACCGUAACUGACGCUGAGACGCGAAAGCGUGGGGAGCAAACAGG